rfam:Operophtera brumata OBRT01_Sc02196, whole genome shotgun sequence.
CGACAGGCCCUUUUCAGGGCCACCAUAAUCUCAAGCUGCAAUGAC